GAGAAUCAUCUUGAAGGAACUUGGCUAAAUACCUCUGUAACUUCAGGAUAAAGAGGGGAGGGGGAACCCCUGGCACAGAAUAGUAGGGAGCAACUGUUUACUUAAAACAUAACACUUUGCCAAGACGUGAGUCUCAGUAUAAGUCCAGUGUUAGUAAGUCGAGUUCGAAAGCUUUUUCAGGCUCCUAGGAAGAGCCUCUAGUUAACAGCGGCGGCAACUAUGAGUAGCUAAAUACCUUGUCCACUAAUUAUGGUAACUCAACUCAAACCAAUACUCCCAGGUGCAGCUAGUAGAUC
rnacentral:ncRNA from 1 species